GAUUAGGUGGCUGAUAUAAGCGAUUGAUUGUAAAUCAUUUUAUGAGUAUUUGUUUACUUCCUAGUUA
rnacentral:tRNA from 1 species